GUCUAUAGCCAUGCUACCCUAAACAAGCUUGAUCCCGUCUAAUCUCAGAAGCUUAGCAGAGUCAGGCCUGGUUAGUACUUGGAUGGGAGACCAUCUAGGAAGACCAGAUGCUGUAGGCA
rnacentral:rRNA from 1 species